rnacentral:rRNA from 1 species
UACGGGAGGCAGCAGUAGGGAAUUUUCGGCAAUGGGCGCAAGCCUGACCGAGCAACGCCGCGUGAGUGAUGAAGGUUUUCGGAUCGUAAAGCUCUGUUGUAAGGGAAGAACGGCACAGAUAGAAUCUGUGAAUGACGGUACCUUACCAGAAAGCCACGGCUAACUACGUGCCAGCAGCCGCGGUAAU